GAAAUGCGAUAAGUAGUGUGAAUUGCAGAAUUCAGUGAAUCAUCGAAUCUUUGAACGCACAUUGCGCCCCUCGGUAUUCCGUGGGGCAUGCCUGUUCGAGCGUCAUUACAACCCUCAGGCCCCCGGGCCUGGCGUUGGGGAUCGGCGGAAGCCCCCUGCGGGCACAACGCCGUCCCCCAAAUACAGUGGCGGUCCCGCCGCAGCUUCCAUUGCGUAGUAGCUAACACCUCGCAACUGGAGAGCGGCGCGGCCACGCCGUAAAACACCCAACUUCUGAAUGUUGACCUCGAAUCAGGUAGGAAUACCCGCUGAACUUAAGC
rnacentral:misc_RNA from 1 species